rnacentral:rRNA from 1 species
UGGGGAAUCUUCCGCAAUGGACGAAAGUCUGACGGAGCAACGCCGCGUGAGUGAUGACGGUCUUCGGAUUGUAAAGCUCUGUUAAUCUGGACGAAUGGUUUGUGUGCAAAUAGUGCAUAGACAUGACGGUACCGGAAUAGAAAGCCACGGCUAACUACGUGCCAGCAGCCGCGGUAAUACGUAGGUGGCAAGCGUUGUUCGGAAUUAUUGGGCGUAAAGCGCGCGCAGGCGGACUAGCCAGUCAGUCUUAAAAGUUCGGGGCUUAACCCCGUGAUGGGAUUGAAACUACUAGUCUAGAGUAUCGGAGAGGAAAGUGGAAUUCCUAGUGUAGCGGUGAAAUGAGUAGAUAUUAGGAAGAACACCAGUGGCGAAGGCGACUUUCUGGACGAACACUGACGCUGAGGCGCGAAAGCCAGGGGAGCGAACGGG